UCACCAGACUGAGCUGGGCCAUGUGAGAAAAGGAGGGAGGGGAAAGGGAAGAGGCAUUGAAGACCAGGACGGGCAGCCAAGAGACCUGAAAGAAAAUGCAUCUAGUCCAACUCCAAGAGCAGCCAAUGUUUUAAAAGAUCUAGUGUCACUCAAAAGUCCAAAUUCAGAGUCCCUACUAGCACUCAAAGCAGGCUGGCAGCUUCACCGUGUGAAACAGAAGACAAUGUCACAGGCUUCCAACCUGUGAUGUCACACAGUAAACACUCUUAUUCCAAAGAGGAAGAAGAGAGGGGACUGAAGGCCUUCACUGGAGGAGAUUCACAUCACAGAGGACCAGGAAGUAGGAACCAGUCUGAGCCCUUGGAGUAUUUCACCCCAAACUGACUCCCCCUAGGGAUGCUGCCAUAUACCCCUUGGUCCUGUCUGGUUAUGGUCCCCAUGCCCUCACAGUGGAAAUCAACUUCCAGCGUAUGAGCCACUGAGAACAAAUCACAUUCAAACCAGAACCCACCCUGUUCGUGUUUCCUGACUUUUCAUCUGAAGCUUGUGUUCCAGUCUCCAGCCACCAUCAGAGGGGUCUCUGCCUGCAGACUGUGAUCACAACAUGGUAUCUACCUCACGAGUCAUGACUACCUUGGUUCUUCAGCACGUUGACUAUAUGACACGUACUUUUUAAAAGUCAGCGAAGUACUUAGGAAAGUAAAGAUCUGGUGUUGAACGAUGGAAAGGAAAGGGCAUGGACUCUUUAGGAAACUGGGAAACCCCAAAGAAGUAGUUCACUAGGGAUACACCUCUGCAAGUGACCCAGGCCCUGCUUCUGGAAUAUUCUUUGCUUCCUGGACCAUCAAACUGUGAGAAGCCUCCUCAUCACAUUCCACUACCACCAAAGAAGCUGCUCCUGUGACCAGGCCUUUCCUAUGAUGAUAAGCUAAAUCUCCCUGAAACCAAACGCCAAAAAAGACUGGUCAUCCUUUCAAUCCAGUCGGGUAGUUGAUCAAAGCAACACAAAAUUAACCACUAGCAUGUAUAUAUAGAUUAUUUUAAUCUGUGCAACAGUCUACUUCCAAGGACUAAAUAUCACAAUUAUUUUAAUUAAUUUAUUGAUUAUGCUGUGUUUCUUUUUUUUAUAUAUAUAUAAGUACAUUUAUCUGUAUGGAUGAAUGCACCUAAGCCUGGGUAUAUACGGAGACUGGAGGAGGGACCCGGGUAUACUUAUGCUGGUCUAUCACUCUUUCUUACU
rnacentral:lncRNA from 1 species